rnacentral:rRNA from 1 species
AUUGAACGCUGGCGGCAGGCCUAACACAUGCAAGUCGAACGAGUGGCGGACGGGUGAGUAAUGUCUGGGAAACUGCCUGAUGGAGGGGGAUAACUACUGGAAACGGUAGCUAAUACCGCAUACCAUCGGAUGUGCCCAGAUGGGAUUAGCUAGUAGGGGGGGGAAAGGCUCACCUAGGCGACGAUCCCUAGCUGGUCUGAGAGGAGGACCAGCCACACGGGAACGGAUACACGGUCCAGACUCCUACGGGAGGCAGCAGUGGGGAAUAUUGCAAAAGGGGCGCAAGCCUGAGGCAGCCAUGCCGCGGGUAUAAAGAAGGCCUUCGGGUGUUAAAGUACUUUCAGCGGGGCGGCGGUACCCGAAGAAGAAGCACCGGCUAACUCCGUGCCAGCAGCCGCGGUAAUAC